rnacentral:SRP_RNA from 1 species
GCCGGGCAUGGUGGCGGGUGCCUGUAGUCCCAGCUACUCGGGAGGCUGAGGCAGGAGAAUGGCUUGAACCCGGGAGGCGGAGUUUACAGUGAGCCGAGAUAGCGCCACUGCACUCCAGCCUGGGCGACAGAGUGAGACUCUGUCUCUU